GAUGAACGCUAGCGGCAGGCUUAAUACAUGCAAGUCGUGGGGCAGCAGGACUGUCGCACUCCAGUUGCUGGCGACCGGCACACGGGUGCGGCACACGUACGCCACUUACCCUGAACUGGGGGAUCGCCCGGGGAAAUCCGGAUUAAUACCCCGUAAUAUAAUGGAGUGGCGUCCCUUUAUUAUUAACGCUCUGGCGGUUCGGGAUGGGCGUGCGGCUGAUUAGGUAGUUGGUUGAGGUAACGGCUAACCACGCCUACGAUCAGUCACUGGUGUGAGAGCACGGCCAGUCAGAAGGGCACUGAGAGACCGGCCCGACACCGACGGGAGGAGGAAGUAAGGAAUAGUGGGGAAUGGAAGCAACUCUGACCCAGGCAGGCCGCGUGGAGGAUGAAGGCGGUCUGGAUAAUAAUCUUCUUAUAUAAGAGAAGAAACCUGUGUAAUCAUACGCAGUUUACGGUACCCUAGGAAUAAGCACCGGCUAACUCCGUG
rnacentral:rRNA from 1 species